UUCGGUUCAAACCGAAUGCUCACCCCUAAUUGUAGCAGCACUGCUAAGCUCAUUUUAGUUUACCUGUUUUUCUUUUGCACAAUGUUUCCUGUUACCUAACAACUUCUUUUUGUUGAAUGGUAAGCUGUGCUUAUUAUUGUUGAAGUAAUUAUCGUUUUUUCUAAAUUCUACAACAAAUUAGUUUAUCAACCUAAUGGAGCUGCA
rnacentral:misc_RNA from 1 species